UACAGAGGGGGCAAGCGUUAUUCGGAAUUAUUGGGCGUAAAGGGCGCGUAGGCGGCUUUGCAAGUGGCGGGUGAAAUCCCUCGGCUUAACCGAGGAACUGCCUGUCAAACUGCAUGGCUUGAGACCAGGAGAGGUGAGUGGAAUUCCCAGUGUAGCGGUGAAAUGCGUAGAUAUUGGGAGGAACACCAGUGGCGAAGGCGGCUCACUGGACUGGUACUGACGCUGAGACACGAAAGCCAGGGGAGCAAACGGG
rnacentral:rRNA from 1 species